GCUGGGUGUGGUGGCACACACCUGUAGUCCCGCUACUCAGGAGGCUGAGGUGGGAGGAUCACCUGAGCCCAGGAGGUCGAGGCUGCAGUGAGCCAUGAUUGCACCACUGCACUCUAGCCUGGGUGACAGAGUGAGACCCUGUCUCAA
rnacentral:SRP_RNA from 2 species